UACGGAGGGUGCGAGCGUUGUCCGGAAUCACUGGGCGUAAAGGGCGCGUAGGCGGCGCGGUAAGUCGGGUGUGAAAUCUCGGAGCUUAACUCCGAAACUGCAUUCGAUACUGCCGUGCUUGAGGACUGGAGAGGAGACUGGAAUUUACGGUGUAGCGGUGAAAUGCGUAGAUAUCGUAAGGAAGACCAAUGGCGAAGGCGGGUCUCUGGACAGUUACUGACGCUGAGGCACGAAGGCCAGGGGAGCAAACGGG
rnacentral:rRNA from 1 species